rnacentral:rRNA from 1 species
GAUGAACGCUGGCGGUAUGCCUAACACAUGCAAGUCGAACGCGAGCUUAGGCUCGAGUGGCAGACGGGUGAGUAACACGUGAGAAUUUGCCUCUAGGAAGGGGACAACAGUUGGAAACGACUGCUAAUACCCUAUAUGUCGAAAGAUGAAAGGUUUUCCGCCUAGAGAGAAGCUCGCGGCUGAUUAGCUAGUUGGUGAGGUAAGGGCUCACCAAGGCGAAGAUCAGUAGCUGGUUUGAGAGGAUGAUCAGUCACACUGGAACUGAGACACGGUCCAGACUCCUACGGGAGGCAGCAGUGGGGAAUUUUCUGCAAUGGGCGAAAGCCUGACAGAGCAAUACCGCGUGAGGGAUGACGGCUUUCGAGUUGUAAACCUCUUUUAUCAAGGAGGAAGUUCUGACGUUACUUGAUGAAUAAGCAUCGGCUAACUCCGUGCCAGCCGCCGCCGUAACAC